UGCAAGUCGAGCGUGAAAGUCCUUCGGGAUGAGUAAGCGGCGGACGGGUGAGUAACACGUGAGUUACCUACCUUUUAGUGAAGAAUAACUUCGAGAAAUCGAAGCUAAUGCUGCAUAAUUCUUUCGAGACAAAGGUGGCUUUAUGCUGCCGCUAAAAGAUGGGCUUGCGGACUAUUAGCUAGUUGGUGAGGUAAUGGCUCACCAAGGCUUUGAUGGUUAACCGGCCUGAGAGGGUGUACGGUCACAUUGGAACUGAGAUACGGUCCAGACUCCUACGGGAGGCAGCAGUGGGGAAUCUUGCUCAAUGGGCGAAAGCCUGAAGCAGCGACGCCGCGUGGAGGAUGAAGGCCUUCGGGUUGUAAACUUCUGUUAAGUGGGAAAAAAGCCUUUCUAUUAAUACCAGAGAGGGAUGAUUGUACCACUAGAGAAAGCACUGGCUAAUCUCGUGCCAGCAGCCGCGGUAAUACGAGAGGUGCAAGCGUUAUUCGGAAUCAUUGGGCGUAAAGGGUGCGUAGACGGCAUUGUAAGUCUGUUGUUAAAAUUCUUGGCCUAACCGAGAGUCUGCAAUGGAUACUGCUUUGCUAGAGGGUGAGAGAGAGAAGUGGAAUUCUCGGAGUAGCGGUCAAAUGCGUAGAUCUCGAGAGGAACACCGAUGGCGAAGGCAGCUUCUUGGCUCAUUUCUGACGUUGAGGCACGAAAGCGUGGGGAGCAAACAGGAUUAGAUACCCUGGUAGUCCACGCCGUANACGAUAAUCACUAGAUGUUGGCCUGGUUUUCUGGGUCAGUGUCGUAGCUAACGCGUUAAGUGAUUCGCCUGGGGAGUACGGUCGCAAGACUAAAACUUAAAGGAAUUGACGGGGGUCCGAACAAGCGGUGGAACAUGUGGUUUAAUUCGACACUACGCGAGGAACC
rnacentral:rRNA from 1 species